UACGUAGGGGGCUAGCGUUGUCCGGAUUUAUUGGGCGUAAAGAGCGUGUAGGCGGCCAUGUAGGUCCGGUGUGAAAACUCGAGGCUUAACCUCGAGAUGUCAUCGGAAACCAUUGGCUAGAGUCCGGAAGAGGAGAGUGGAAUUCCUGGUGUAGCGGUGAAAUGCGCAGAUAUCAGGAAGAACACCAAAUGGCGAAAGCAGCUCUCUGGGACGGUACUGACGCUGAGACGCGAAAGCGUGGGAG
rnacentral:rRNA from 1 species